UACGAAGGGUGCAAGCGUUACUCGGAAUUAUUGGGCGUAAAGGGUUCGUAGGUGGCUUGUUAAGUCAGACGUGAAAUCCCUCAGCUUAACUGGGGAACUGCGUCUGAGACUGGCGAGCUCGAGUGCAGGAGAGGAACGCGGAAUUCCAGGUGUAGCGGUGAAAUGCGUAGAUAUCUGGAGGAACACCGGUGGCGAAGGCGGCGUUCUGGACUGCAACUGACACUGAUGAGCGAAAGCGAGGGGAGCAAACGGG
rnacentral:rRNA from 1 species